AUUGAACGCUAGCGGCAUGCUUAACACAUGCAAGUCGAACGGUAACAGGCCUAGCUUGCUAGGCGCUGACGAGUGGCGGACGGGUGAGUAACGCGUAGGAAUCUACCUUGUAGAGGGGGAUAACCUGGGGAAACUCAGGGUAAUACCGCAUAGUCCCGAAAGGGUAAAGCAGGGGACCGUAAGGCCUUGUGCUAUGAGAUGAGCCUGCGUCGGAUUAGCUAGUUGGUGGGGUAAAGGCCUACCAAGGCGAAGAGCCGUAGCUGGUCUGAGAGGACGACCAGCCACACUGGGACUGAGACACGGCCCAGACUCCUACGGGAGGCAGCAGUGGGGAAUAUUGGACAAUGGGCGGAAGCCUGAUCCAGCAAUGCCGCGUGUGUGAAGAAGGCCUGCGGGUUGUAAAGCACUUUCAGUUGGGAGGAAGGUUUUGCCAUGAAUAAUGGUGAGAAUUGACGUUACCGACAGAAGAAGCACCGGCUAACUCUGUGCCAGCCGCCGCCGUAA
rnacentral:rRNA from 1 species